rnacentral:rRNA from 1 species
AGAACGAACGCUGGCGGCAGGCUUAACACAUGCAAGUCGAACGCGUGUAGCAAUACACGAGUGGCGCACGGGUGAGUAACGCGUGGAUAUCUGCCUUUUGGUUCGGAAUAACCCCGGGAAACUGGGGCUAAUACCGGAUGGUUCCUACGGGAUAAAGAUUUAUCGCCAAAAGAUGAGUCCGCGUACGAUUAGCUAGUUGGUGAGGUAAUGGCUCACCAAGGCGACGAUCGUUAGCUGGUCUGAGAGGACGAUCAGCCACACUGGGACUGAGACACGGCCCAGACUCCUACGGGAGGCAGCAGUGGGGAAUAUUGGACAAUGGGCGAAAGCCUGAUCCAGCCAUGCCGCGUGAGUGAUGAAGGCCUUAGGGUUGUAAAGCUCUUUUACCCGGGAAGAUAAUGACGGUACCGGGAGAAUAAGCCCCGGCUAACUUCGCGCCAGCAGCCGC